CGAGUCAUCUGUCAAGAUUAUUAAUGUUAGAAUAAAUAAAUAUAAAUAUAUUUGCAAUGGAUAAUAUAUAUAAUACACCCUCCUGCAUUACCUACUCCAUGUGAUGUCUGUCUCUAUUUCACAGGUAAUCAGAUUCUUGGUGGCAAAACGCAGGGGUAUCUUACGCCAUCAUAAAGAAGGCUACGUGGUGUUGAUAUGUCUGGUCCAAGCUAUCGUUUACCCGCGUCUAGGCUGCCAAAUAGAUCUGUAACCGGUUCCAAUCAUGGCAUUCAAUUCCAUAUGCCAGCGUCGACAAUAAGAAGGACCGUUGCUAAUCAAACUUCUGGUAAUAAACUUAAUAAUACCGGGUCUGUCAAUUUAUUGGACCGUCAUACCCCGGCAAAUACUACAAGUAUGUCUAGCCCUGAUUCGGAAAUCACUGUCCUGGUUCCUGAGCUUGUAAAAAUCGGUGUUAG